rnacentral:misc_RNA from 1 species
GGAAGGAUCAUUACUGAGUUAGGGUCAUUUAGGCCCCACCUCUAACCCUGUGUUUAAACUACCGCGUUGCUUCGGCGGGCCGCCGUCAUGGCCGCCAGAGGAAGGACGUGUUCGCCUCUGGUCCCGAGCCCGUCGAUAGCCUUGAAAAAACUAAAGUCUGGAACGAACAGUGUUGUCUAAGUCUCCAUACAAUUAAACUAAAACUUUCAACAACGGAUCUCUUGGUUCUGGCAUCGAUGAAGAACGCAGCGAAAUGCGAUAAGUAAUGCGAAUUGCAGAAUUCAGUGAGUCAUCGAAUCUUUGAACGCAUAUUGCGCCCUUUGGUAUUCCGAAGGGCAUGCCUGUUCGAGCGUCAUUAAAUACCCUAUCAAGCCCGGCUUGUAGUUGGACCUAGGGUCGCCAUUUAUAAGACGGCCGGUUCGAAAGAUAACGGCUGUCGUCUGUCAGAUCCUCGGUGCAAUGAGCUUUUUAGCACGCAUUGGAGUGGUCGAUAGGCCUGGCCUUUUAACCACGAAUAUUCACAAGGUUGACCUCGGAUCAGGUAGGAAUACCCGCUGAACUUAAGCAUAUCAAUAAGCGGAGGAAAAGAAACCAACAGGGAUUGCCUUAGUAACGGCGAGUGAAGCGGCAACAGCUCAAAUUUAAAAUCUGGCCGUUAAAGGUCCGAGUUGUAAUUUGUAGAGGAUGCCUCGGGCACCGCCCCGGUGUAAAUUUCUUGGAACAGAAUGUCAGAGAGGGUGAGAAUCCCGUCUUGAACCGGCGGUAGGGUCCAUGUGAAGCUCCUUCGACGAGUCGAGUUGUUUGGGAAUGCAGCUCAAAAUGGGUGGUAAAUUUCAUCUAAAGCUAAAUACUGGCCAGAGACCGAUAGCGCACAAGUAGAGUGAUCGAAAGAUGAAAAGCACUUUGAAAAGAGAGUUAAACAGCAUGUGAAAUUGUUGAAAGGGAAGCGUUUACAACCAGACUUUGCGCGCGUCGGUUCCCCCUUCCUUUGUGGUUGGGUCAUUCCGUCGCACUCAGGGCAACAUCGGUUAGGGUGGCCGGUUAAAGGCCCCGGGAAUGUAUCGACUCUUGUAAGGGUCGACUUAUAGCCCGAGGUGUCAUGCGGCCUAUCCGGACCGAGGGACGCGCUCCGGCACGGAUGUUGGCGUAAUGGUUGUAAACGACCCGUCUUGAAACACGGACCAAGGAGUCUAACAUCUAUGCGAGUGUUUGGGUGUCAAACCCCCCGGCGCGGAAAUGAAAGUGAACGGAGGUAAGAACCCGCGAGGGUGCAUUAUCGACCGAUCCUGAUGUCUUCGGAUGGGAUUUGAGUAAGAGCAUAGCUGUUGGGACCCGAAAGAUGGUGAACUAUGCCUGAAUAGGGUGAAGCCAGAGGAAACUCUGGUGGAGGCUCGCAGCGGUUCUGACGUGCAAAUCGAUCGUCAAAUUUGGGUAUAGGGGCGAAAGACUAAUCGAACUAUCUGGUAGCUGGUUCCCGU